AAACAUCUGCACAGCGCUAAAAGAGCUUGGGGCUCUUGAAGAGAGGCAGAAAGCCACGGUGAGAGCCCUCGAGGAAACCAACAGAAAGCUGGAAGCCAGCGAGAAGAAUGUUAUUACUCUUAACAACACACUGAAAGAGAUGAAAACUAUUUAUGAAGAACAACAUCAUGUGGCAUUUUCUGUAGCACAGCCAGUAAGCGGAACCAUUGGUCAAGUGAAUGUUCUUUAUCCGCUGGUAUACAAACAAGUUCUGUCCAACAUUGGAGGUCAUUACAGUCCAGUGACGGGCUACUUUACAGCGCCUGUGAGAGGAAUCUACUACUUUUCGUUUUCUUCAUUGUGCUGGCCAGGUGAUGGA